rnacentral:rRNA from 1 species
UACGUAGGGGGCGAGCGUUAUCCGGAUUUACUGGGUGUAAAGGGAGCGUAGACGGCACUGCAAGUCUGGAGUGAAAGCCCGUGGCCCAACCACGGGACUGCUCUGGAAACUGUGUUGCUGGAGUGCAGGAGGGGUAAGCGGAAUUCCUAGUGUAGCGGUGAAACGCGUAGAUAUUAGGAGGAACACCGGUGGCGAAGGCGGCUUACUGGACUGUAACUGACGUUGAGGCUCGAAGGCGUGGGGAGCAAACAGG